UACGAAGGGGGCUAGCGUUGCUCGGAAUCACUGGGCGUAAAGCGCACGUAGGCGGGUAUUUAAGUCAGGGGUGAAAUCCUGGAGCUCAACUCCAGAACUGCCUUUGAUACUGAGGAUCUCGAGUCCGGGAGAGGUGAGUGGAACUCCGAGUGUAGAGGUGAAAUUCGUAGAUAUUCGGAAGAACACCAGUGGCGAAGGCGGCUCACUGGCCCGGUACUGACGCUGAGGUGCGAAAGCGUGGGGAGCAAACAGG
rnacentral:rRNA from 1 species